AGACUUUCCAGUACGUCCUCCUCAAGUGGACCCUCUGCUUCCUAAUCGGCGCCUUCGCCGGGGGCAUCGGAUUCUUCAACAAUCUCGCUGUGGAAAACAUAGCCGGGAUUAAGUUUGUAGUGACAUCAAACUUGAUGCUUGCUAACAAGUAUGCGCGGGCGUUCGGAGUGUUUGCGGUGAGCAAUCUGGUGUUGACGAUGUUUGCGACUGUGAUUACGACUUAUAUUGCGCCGGCGGCGGCUGGGUCUGGGAUUCCGGAAGUGAAGGCUUAUCUUAAUGGGGUGGAUGCGCCGGGGAUUUUCUCAUUGCGGACUUUGAUAGUUAAGGUUCUUGGCAGCAUUGCGGCAGUGUCAUCAUCUCUUCAUGUGGGUAAGGCAGGUCCUUUGGUGCAUACUGGCGCGUGCCUUGCAUCCUUAUUGGGACAAGGUGGUUCAUGUAAAUAUCACUUAACAUGCAAAUGGCUGAGGUACUUCAAAAAUGACAAAGAUAGGCGCGACCUUGUAACUUGUGGGUCUGCGGCUGGUAUUGCUGCUGCUUUCCGUGCUCCUGUUGGUGGUGUUCUAUUUGCUCUCGAAUCGGUAUCAUCGUGGUGGAGAAGCUCCCUACUCUGGAGAGCAUUUUUCACAACAGCAACAGUGGCUGUUCUUCUUAGAGCAAUGAUUGAGGUCUGUAGAAGCGGCAAAUGUGGCUUGUUUGGAAAGGGUGGGCUUAUAAUGUUUGAUGUCACCUCAGAUGGCUCUGUCUAUCACCUGGUUGACCUACCUCCGGUUAUUGCUCUAGGAGUUAUUGGAGGGAUACUUGGCGCCCUAUACAAUUUUCUAUUGAUCAAGGUUCUUCGAGUUUAUAAUCUUAUCAAUGAGAAAGGGCGUAUCUACAAAUUGCUCAUUGCUGCUACUGUUUCAAUUUUGACAUCUUGUUGUCUAUUUGGACUACCAUGGCUAGCAUCUUGUAGAGCUUGCCCAGAUGCGAGUACGAUACGCGAAACAUGCCCAUCAAUUGGCAGGUCUGGUAACUUCAAGAAGUUCCAAUGUUCUCCUCAGAACUACAAUGAUCUUGCCAGCUUAUUCUUCAACACGAACGACGACACUAUUAGGAAUCUUUUCAGCGCUGAUGCCGAUGAUGUGUUCCAGUAUUCUUCGGUAGUCUUGUUCUUUAUCACCUCCUAUUUUCUAGGUAUUUUGAGUUAUGGCGUUGUGGCACCGACUGGGCUAUUUGUACCUGUGAUCCUGACCGGUGCGACCUACGGACGCCUUGUUGGUAUGCUAGUGCGUGCACAUUCAACUUUGGAUCAUGGACUCUUUGCGGUGCUCGGGGCUGCUUCCCUUCUAGGUGGAACUAUGAGAAUGACAGUUUCCAUAUGCGUAAUUAUGCUUGAACUAACCAACAAUCUUCUCUUGCUCCCGCUUGUUAUGCUUGUUGUGCUAAUAUCCAAAACUGUCGCUGAUGCUUGCAAUGCCAAUAUCUAUGACUUGAUUCUGAAACUGAAGGGGCUACCUUAUCUCGAAG
rnacentral:misc_RNA from 1 species